UACGAAGGGUGCAAGCGUUACUCGGAAUUACUGGGCGUAAAGCGUGCGUAGGCGGUUCGUUAAGUCUGUCGGGAAAGCCCUGGGCUCAACCUGGGAAUUGCGAUGGAUACUGGCGAGCUAGAGUACGGUAGAGGAUGGUGGAAUUCCCGGUGUAGCGGUGAAAUGCGUAGAGAUCGGGAGGAACACCCGUGGCGAAGGCGGCCAUCUGGACCAGUACUGACGCUGAGGCACGAAAGCGUGGGGAGCAAACGGG
rnacentral:rRNA from 1 species